rnacentral:snRNA from 1 species
AUCGCUUCUCGGCCUUUUGGCUAAGAUCAAGUGUAAAUUGAUGUCAUUAUUUCCCUGAAAUAUAUUUUUAAAAGUAUCUCCUUUUUUGAACUAGUACUGGAGACUUUAUCUUUCAGUAAGGUAAUAAAAUU